AAAAUUAUUAUAAAAAUGUAAUAUUAUAAAAGGAAGUAAAAACAAAAAACAAAAAGUAACAGUAGAGUGUCAACAAUAUUAAUGGCAGGGAUGUUUGAGCUUUUACUCAUCUCCUUCUUACCAUAAUGUGGUCACGUGAUCUAGUCUUUUCAAUCUAUUAGUAAUCAAGAUCUUUACUCUGGACACAAACAUGAUUUGUGUAUAGCCUAAUCUUCUUCCCUUUUUUUCCCCCUCAUUUUGUUGCGAAAGAAAUUUGAACUUCAAAGUUUAAACGUCUUGUACCACUUUAAAAUCUUAUUACUAGUAAAAUCAACUAAAUAGUAGGAAUAUUUGCUUUAUCUUUUUAAGUCGAUGAUGAUUUCAAAAUUUUGCAUGCUUAUUCAUUUUUUUUUUAUUUUGCAAUUAAUUGUUACUCAUAUUCUCUUGAUUAUAUUAAUGGUUCAUUUACUAAUUGGUAACCAGAAUUGACUGAAAUCAGAAUGUGUUAGAUUGAGAAUAAGGAAUGAAAAUCAGAAUAAGAUGUUUACUUGAGUUGAAGGAAUUGGAAUUGGAAUGGAUUCGAUUAUCAUUUAUGUGUUUAUUUUGUCUUGGUAUCAAAAUGUAUUGUUACAAGUUAUUUAAAAAGAAAAAAGAAAAAAAAGAAUAAUAAAACAAUAAUGACAACAAUAGUAUUAAUAAUAAUAGCCAUCAUCAUCAAUGAUUGGCAACAGCGGCGAUGGAAUCAAUGGGCUUUUGUUGUUCCUGGUUUGUUUGUGACGGCAUUGAUAAUUGCUGCUAUUCGUUCGACGUUUUUGGCGCGAUCAACAAGCGGUUGAAGAUCUAUUACUAUUGCUAGUGAUGGCCAAGGACGGCGAUAUGAUUCUGGUAGGUGCUACAUGAUAUCAACGAUUGUUGAUGGUGAAUCGGUUUGGGAAUUUGGGUUUUCUUAUUUUUAAUUUUUGUUAGAUUUAAAUUUGAUGACAAAAUUAACAAUUUUCAAAACUGCUUGGGGUAUAACAGUUUGUACAAAGAAUGAAAAGCUUGAUUCCUACCCUCAAAUCAAGUUUCUAUUUUUUAAUCCUGAAAAUAUUUGAAUCUCAUAUGUUCCAUUCUCAUUAUCAUUUCUAUUUACUAAUAUAUACCAUCCAUUAUUUUCAUUCUAAGUUUGAUAAGAGAACAUGAUUAGGAGCUCCUAAUGACAAUAUAGGUAGUGUUUACACUUUGGAUUAGAGUGAGAAUCACGAGGAGUGGAAAUCCUGAGAUUGAGAAUGUGGAGUGGGAGUGAGAGUGAGAGUGAGAGUAUGUUGUUUACUUACACUAGAAGGAGAGUAUGAAAUUAGAAUAAGAAUCAGAAUCCAAUUUAUGUGUUUACUUUGUCUUGAAUUUGAAGUAAAUGGUUUCAAAUUAUAAUUUUACUUUUAUUUAAACAAUUGUA
rnacentral:lncRNA from 1 species